rnacentral:rRNA from 1 species
UGGCGGACGGGUGAGUAACGCGUGGGUAACCUGCCUUGCACUGGGGGAUAACACUUAGAAAUAGGUGCUAAUACCGCAUAAGCGCACGGUCCUGCAUGGGACAGUGUGAAAAACUCCGGUGGUGCAAGAUGGACCCGCGUCUGAUUAGCUGGUUGGCGGGGUAAAGGCCCACCAAGGCGACGAUCAGUAGCCGGCCUGAGAGGGUGGACGGCCACAUUGGGACUGAGACACGGCCCAAACUCCUACGGGAGGCAGCAG